rnacentral:rRNA from 1 species
GUGCACCAGGCGAGAAACCUCCGCAAUACACGAAAGUGUGACGGGGCCAUCCCGAGUGCCGUCCGCUGAGGACGGCUUUUCCCCAGUGUACACAGCUGGGGGAAUAAGGAGAGGGCAAGCCUGGUGUCAGCCGCCGCGGUAAUACCAGCUCUCCGAGUGGUGGGGACGCUUAUUGGCCUAAAGCAUCCGUAGCCGGCUGGGCAAGUCCUCCGUUAAAUCCAACGAUUCAAUCGUUGGGCUGCGGGGGAUACUGUCCAGCUUGGGGGCGGGAGAGGCCGACGGUAUUCCCGGGGUAGGGGUGAAAUCCUAUAAUCCCGGGAGGACCACCAGUGGCGAAGGCUGUCGGCUAGAACGCGCCCGACGGUGAGGGAUGAAAGCGUGGGGGAGCGAACCGGAUUAGAUACCCCGUAGU